GUGCUCGCCAACGGCGUGUAAAGUGCGCUGAAAGCUCGCCGAUUCAAACCUGGUCAGCUUUCAGCGCAAGGCGGAACGCAGCUGGUCUAGUAGUAUUUUGGUAGACCGGCGGCGUAUCGACAUACGUCACUGAUGCCUCACCGGCAGGUUUCCACAGUGUCAGGCACAUUUCAGUGCAAUAAAUAAUCAUCAUCAACUAUUAAUCUGAGUCAGCACAUAUAUUUAGAUCUAUAUCGAUAUAUUCUGAUCUAUAUCUGAUCUGAUGAGCGCGUUUGGCACACGUUUGGACACACAACCUGACCGAAUCAACACAGCUGAAACCGCAUCAAAUUAAAUUAAAUAUCUAGUAAAUAAACCCACAUGAUGAAGUUAACAAGAUCUGUAAUUCGUCUCCCUCCUUUUCUUUCUUCCUCUUCCUCUUAUUUCUCGCACAGCUCGACCUGGACACGUCUCGGUGUCCUCUGUCCGUCUUGCUGCUGCUGCAGCUGAACAGAUGAUUUGUUUCAGUGCUCAGAUGCGUUAUCUACUUUAAGCCGACAUACGGAUAUUAUAAUAUUCAGUUUUGUGGGCCAAAUUUAUUUUAUAUGCCAACAUCUAUGAAAGAAAGAGCCAGGCCACGGCGCGCGAUGCGUCAUUUACACACAGAUGGUUCCGAUUUUAAUGCCAUUUUUGGAGUUUAUGGUGUGAUCUGUGCGCUCAACCCACCUUUGUCACGUGAGGUUUGAAAAUGAGCAACUUUAUGUGAGUGUCUUUAUUUGUGGAAAAGGGUGUUUGUCUUACCAGUGGGUCCAACAUUACGCACACUAAAUCCAUCUGUGCUUAUAUGAGAGGGUGUGGAGGACACUUGUUGAGGAGCUGCCCUCUGUCGCCAUCUUGUGGCAUUACUGUCUUAAGACAUCUCUUGAUCUCUUUGACUACUUCAUGAAAAUAGUAAUACGCCUCGCCUGUGGCGGAUCUAAAGGCAAGGAGAGGAGCCUAUGUGAUUGGUGAAAACAGGUCUCGGCUGUGUUAAACCCACUACACGCCCUUUCUCUUCCCCGUCUACGACUUAUGGUGCUGGGAGGAGCUGAGUUAGGGAGGGGGGAUACUUACGCCGGGCUGCGCGGCUCACCAAAAUACCAAAAUGUGCUUGGGAACGCCUUGUCAGCGCGGCGGAUCUGACUGACGCUGCGCUUGCGGCACGUCUCCGGCGAGGCACCAAAAUAGAGCCCUUCAAGUUUUAUUCAGGGAUAAGACCAGAAACAGGUUACAGGCAGGCUGUGUGACCAGCACCACAGACAGAUGUUAACAGGUGCCUUAAAUACUCUGUGGAUGAUUGUCCUGCCCAGGCCGAUCCACAUGUAGGUGUCUCUCCAAGAUUAGCUCUGCUCCAUAACAACUUGAACACCAUUUAACAAUCACCAUUUACCUGUAUCCUUCCUAUAAACUACAAAUCUCUUUAGAAAGUUUUCCAUACUUUAACCUUACACCUAUUUAUAGCAAAUACAAUUUUAGAUCCCAAAACCUGAACUCCCCACAUUACACACCUACAUUACCUGCACACAUUUUUUAGAACACUUUGUUUUCCAAUAAUUAAUGUUAUUAGACCGUAUUGCUGAGCUCUCUCACUCUCCUCUCUUACAGGCAGAGCAGCGCUCCAGAGCCAGCCCCUGCCCAACAGCCACACAUUAAUAAUGGGUUACUUUCACGACAUCAGCUAAUAAUUCCUCACUCCACAAUGUUCACAUGACUUGUGCAAAUAUGCAAUGUGCAAAUGUAAUGUGCAAAUUUCGCUAAUAAAGUGCAAAGUGCUAUAAAAGUGCUAAGUGUUAUUAAUCAUUUGUCAGUACAAUUAAAAGUGCAUCCCCACUGUGCAAUAUUUACAUGGCAAAAAGCCAUCCGUCACUAGUAAUGAAGGAUCUUUGUUACACCCCCAAAGACGUUAGUGUCCGAGAGCUGAACAG
rnacentral:lncRNA from 1 species